GAUUCCAGAGCAUCUAAAACAUAGACCUCUUCAGAUGCUCAUAUUGAAGCAAAGAAAAAUCUCCACAAAUCUGCUAAAAACCCACAAAAACCUGAAGGGGUCCUUCCCGAUUCAACAAAAAAUUCCUCACAAACACCAAACCUUAAAGAGACCCUUAAGUUGAAACUUCGAUUUCUUGACCAAAGAAGCUGAAUCUUCGCCUUAAGGUCACAAGGAGCACAAAUGUCGCAGAUCUGCCUCAACUGCCUUCUGCGCAAAGAGAGGAACCCCUCCAAAAAGAUAAUUAUCAUCUCUUUUUAAUCCCUCUGUAGCCGAAGAGUGUGCUGCACCAUUUGCAUGUUUUGGUACAUGAUGGAAAACACAUUUUUGAUAUCGUUCACAUAUUGUCUUUAUGUCGAAAAUGUAAGCCCCUAUCACUGAUCUUUCAAUUCCUUCUGCUUUCAGUUUUCGGAUCACAGCCAAAGAGUCACCCUCAAUCUCUACUCUUGGAAAACCCAACUAUAAGCCCAUCUUGCCCCCUCGACACACACCAUCGCUUCCGCUGCAAAAGGAGAAGGUAUAUUGACAUGCAUUAUAGCUUUUGACCAAAGAACAAUACCGGAAUCAUCCCGCAAAAUAAUCCCUGAGCACGAUUUGUUAUUUUGUUGACAAAAUCCUGCAUCAAAAUUUAUUUUGACAGAAUGUUUUUGUGGCAGUUGCCAGUAAACAAGAGGAACCUAACAGGUAGUUGGUUUUUCCUUCACACCAUCCACUUCACCCAAAAAUUUUUUAUAAAGCUCAUAAUCUCUGAUGCUGUAGACUUUUGACUUUCAUGCAAAAGCCUAUUGCGCAUAGUCCAAAUCCCCCACUUUGCACAGCAGAACACACGACAAGAAUACAGAGUUAUGGCCAAAAACUGGUGAACCCAAUCUAUAAUUGAUAUCUCAGUUGUCGCUGUUUGUCUCGCAAUACCAAGUUGACACCAAAUUUCCUUUGAAUGCAGGCAAACUUCUAAGGGUCACCGAGCAACCUACUUUCCAUCCAAAACUUAAGCCUCCUCUCGAACCUACUGCCCCCACAUCGACACCACAAAAAUAACCACAUUUCAUCCGCACCUUUUCCAUCCUACUAGUAGAAAUUUUUGUCUCCAUAAAAAAGAUAAGUUGAGUAUUGGGUAAUCGGGCCUGGGCCGUUUCUUACCCUCACCCACUUGAAUUGGAUUUUGCUCCAAAUCAUUUCCCAUAGUAUCGAAAAUCAAUCCACUACAAUCACCAUCUUUUGGUAACUCAUUCCUUUUCUAAAUUUACUCCUAAAAUAGGACUUUCAUAAUUUUCGCCAAUAGGGACACCCUCCCCUUCUUCUAGCAACCAGACACUUCUCCCCACGGCGGCGCCAUCAACGUAAGAUCCCAUACUUGCGGCUUCUCUUCACCACCAUAAUUGAGACGGAUUGGACAGAAACUAUCUCUAUGGCCUAAUACACCACAAACAAAGCAAAACAAGGAUGAUUUUGCAUUUUUAAAUUUUGCAUGCGUAGUUCUUGUUGGAGAGAUUAUCAGCUUUUUCUUCCUUUUCAAAGGUUUUCUCACAUCUAUCUGAACACGAAUUCUCAAGAAAUAAUUAUUCCUUAUUUUAACUAAAUUACAUAAUAUUUUCCAUAAUAUCAUAAUCUCUAACUAUAAUUAAUGGAUUAUAUCCUUACAAAUAUUGUUUAGUGAAAUAUUACAAAAAUUUCCAAACCACUAUAAAUAGGAGGCAUACAUUGGGUUUGUUAAGUAAAAAACCUAUCUUGUUUUCCUAAAUUGAAGAUAAUGUUGUGAUUGUUUUUAAUAUUACUGCUUUUUUACAUCAAACUAUUUUAAUCCUAAACCCUAAAACCCAAGAUUAUAAUUAAACUUAAACCAGUGCAUUAUCCACCGGAGGAGCUACUAACUGUGAUGCAAGAGGAUAGGGAUAAGCACACUAUUGGUCGAGAAAUUGUGCUGUAAAAUCUUUAGUUUUUGGCUUUCUCGUCAAUUUUUUAAAUGCAAUAUUAAUACUAGUCCUAUAUCCAUCAACCCAUGUUGUUGUUUGAUAUUUUAAAUUAAAAAUGCAGUGAAUAUAAGGUUGCCUAAAUGAUUACUGUUUUCUUGGUUAAAAAAAUAUUAAGUAUUCAAUGAACGAAUUGAUAUGAAUUCACCUAUUUAAAACAUUACAAAAUGAUUAUUCAUACAUAUAACCAGUUUUAGUAUAUAUAUUGACUCUUGCAGCAAGGGAGGCUGUUGUCAUGCUUAUGAUUUUGUAUGGAGUGAGAUUUUUUGCAUUAUUUGUACUAUCAUUUUUGUUGGCCAG
rnacentral:lncRNA from 1 species